AUAUCAAUGAAGGAAUUAAGACUUAUUAUUUAAUAUACGCAAAAUAAUUGUGGUAUAGACCCACAUUUUUCCAUGUGGAAACUGGGAUUUUUCACAUUUUUGCCAUAGAGGUUAAUCAGCGUUUGGAGAAAGUGAUUAAGGUUAUACAGAUUACAUCACGGACGUAUAGCUGGAUUACUUAAAUUGACAUGCCAGCAAACUCAGAUUUUUUUUGGUUCAGGACUGACCAAGUAGUUCUCAACCCUCAAUUUGCAUAUAUCAACAUUUAAACAGUACACUAAUGAAGAUAUCGAUUACAACCCUUAUGGUGGCGAUAUGCUUAUGCAAAGCUCAUGAAUGUA